UACCAGCUCUCCGAGUGGUGUGGAUGUUUAUUGGGCCUAAAGCAUCCGUAGCUGGCUGGGCAAGUCCCCUGUUAUAUUCAGCGACCUAAUCGUUGAGCCGCGGGAGACACUACUAGGCUAGGAGGCGGGAGAGGCCGACGGUAUUCUCGGGGUAGGGGUGAAAUCCUAUAAUCCCGGGAGGACCACCAGUGGCGAAGGCUGUCGGCUAGAACGCGCUCGACGGUGAGGGACGAAAGCUGGGGGAGCGAACCGGAUUAGAUACCCGGGUAGUCCCAGCUGUAAACGAUGCGGGCUAGGUGUUGGGGUGGCUACGAGCCACUUCAGUGCCGCAGGGAAGCCAUUAAGCCCGCCGCCUGGGGAGUACGGCCGCAAGGCUGAAACUUAAAGGAAUUGGCGGGGAGCACCACAAGGCGUGAAGCUUGCGGUUC
rnacentral:rRNA from 1 species